UAGAUCUCUCCCUAAACUUUUUUAAUCCCCUUCCCUAAUCAAUUUUCAAAUCGCAAUUAAAAAAAACAAAAACGCGUUUAGAAAACAGUGAUUUUACCGUUUAAACAAAAACGCGUUUAAAAACCAAAUCCGACCCGAAAUUAAAACAAAUCCGACCCGACUUAACUUAAAAAAAAAACAAAUUGGGGAUCAGACGACGACUAAGAACAGAUGACUGGGAACGCAGAGAAAGAGACGACAAGGAACACAGAGAGAGACAAUGACGAUGAGGAACAGAUAGAGACGAUGACGAAGAACCGAGAGAGACGAAGACGACGAUGAUGUCCAGAGUUCACUCUCCACUCCUGUAGAUUCGAAGAUCAUAUCAGAGAUUAUGAAAGACGAUGUUUCGCAAGAUUCAGCUGUCACAGAAGAAGCCAAGGCGGAAGAGGUCUCAGAAAGCAUCCAACAGCAUAGAACCAGGAGGUCUUUGGAUGUGAACCAAGCUGAUGUUCCAGAGGUUGUUCAAGGAUCAGAAGAUGGACUCCAAUGAUAAUUGUUGCUCAACCUCCAGAGAAGAAACGUGCAAAUAGAAAGGAGACUGUUUCUAAGAAUAGUUUGCCCGUGAGGAGGAAGAAAGCAGUAGCAACCAACUCUGUCAAUCGGAGAACAGUUCCAGAAAACAAGGACAUUAAGUCUCCGAAGAAACCUGAAAGUACCAGUAAGCCAAGGACUAAGAAAAUUCAAGAAGAGACUAAGAAGUCCACCAAGUAACUUGUUGCUAAAGAAGGUGAAGAAGUUAAAAUCUCUGAAGCAGCUACACAAAAUGGAAAACAAAGAAAACACGGUUGUUGCUGCUGGUGCAGGAGAAGAAAUCCAAGUUUGAAUGAAGAACAGAGAAGCGUUUUCACAUCUCAAUCAACUCUCUUUUUUUUUGGUUUGAAUGCUUGUUCAAGGUACAUAGUUGAAAGGUGUUCGUAAGUUUGGUUUGGAAGAUAUCAAAUAUUUUAUUUGCUUGCUUAUGUAAUUGUGUUCUGUUUUUUAUUUUUCUU